UAGGGGUUGACCCAUGACCCCAAGGUCAAGGGUUCAACCCCCAGCGUCCCCAUUUGUUUUGUUUUUCAUUAUUUUCCUUUUUAUUUCUUAUUUCUUCAUUUUCACUUAUUUUCUUUUCCAUUUUUAUUCUAUUUCUUUUAUCACUCAUUUCUUUUUAAUCCAAUAUUUUUGCACAUACUCUUGUUCAUGACAUUUAUUUUAAUUUUGUCCAUUCUUUAUUUUAUAUUUUAUCACUUUUAUUUGGACAUUUAUACCUUUAUUUUUGGAUGAUGGUUGAUGACUUUUAUUGAU
rnacentral:lncRNA from 1 species